rnacentral:rRNA from 1 species
UACGGAGGACGCAAGCGUUAUCCGGAAUGAUUGGGCGUAAAGCGUCUGCAGGUGGCAAUGUAAGUCUGCUGUUAAAGAGUCUAGCUUAACUAGAUAAAGGCAGUGGAAACUACAAGGCUAGAGUGCGUUCGGGGCAGAGGGAAUUCCUGGUGUAGCGGUGAAAUGCGUAGAGAUCAGGAAGAACGCCGGUGGCGAAAGCGCUCUGCUAGGCCGCAACUGACACUGAGGGACGAAAGCUAGGGGAGCGAAUGGG